rnacentral:rRNA from 1 species
GGAUUACCCGCUGAGUUUAA